UGAAAGGGGCAGGUCCAAAAUGACCCAGCCCAAAGAAAUAAACAAAAUACAAUUGGGCAACAUUAGAAAUGGAAAACCAAUUUAGGAAACUGGAGAAGCCAAGAAGCUUCUUGACCAACAAUUCCUCAACUUCCAACCUUUUCAAUCUUCAAGUUCUUGACUAAGCUGAACUUUGGCCUGUAAAAUUAAGUUGAAUCAGUUGUCCGCCACUGGAAUCAACGUCACUUGAUAAAGAUCUCGUUCAUCCAUCCUCAACACAAAUCAGAUAAUUGACUCUCCUUUAAAUGUCAUAUAAAUACUUUCAUUUCCCUCUUUAUCCUUCUCGAUGGAUUGAACCUCUAAUGAGAUAAAUACCACUACCAGAUCUGAAGUUAUAAAGAAUAUGAAAUGCUUACAGAAAUUCAAUUGCAGGUUAAAUUACUCUUUCUCCCUCUCGAUGGAUUGAACCUAGUUACAUGCUUAUCUUAAGUUGAUAUCUUUUGAACACCUCAAAUCUCACAGGUGCAGAUAUUCAAAUUUUCUUGAAUUCACUUCAGACAUAUGUAGCAAUCUAGAUGCUUAUAUUCUUAUCUAUUCGAAACUGAAAUCUGAAAGCAUUUCAUACAUAUUGGAUUUAGGAUUUUCAAUUUCUCAAUUAACUGUGAGCUCUCUUUUUCCUCCACCUCGAUUUGUUGCGAUUAACUGCGAUUAGGAUAAAAAAUGUGUUGAUUUCUUGUUACACCACACAGUGAAGUAAAAAGUUUUUUUUUUAACAAUGUUGUCCCUUAUGCAUGAAGUAAAGGGAAGAUAAAAAUAUUAGUUUGUCGCUGUUCGGACACCAUGGUUACCAAUGAAGAUAAGGUUUUUCAAUUAUUUGAUAAACAUUCUCGUGGAAUUGAGAAUCUGUUGCAUUGUUCGGGUUUUUCUUUGGCAUUAGUAAACAAUGCAUUUCAUUGGAUCUGUAUCCCUGGAAACUAUUUCGAGGAUUCAAGAGCUUUCUCUUCGGUUUCAUUUAGUAUUUCUAAAGAAGUAUAUGCAGACAUACCAUUGCCUAAGCAAUUAUUACGCUUAAAGGGCAACAUCGGUAUUAGCAUUUCUGAACAGGACGGAAUGUUUUGUGCUCAUUCUACUUAUGAACAUUAGGGGAGGCACACAUUUAAGUUAUAGGUAUUGAAAGACUAUGAUGUCGGUGAAUCUUGGAUUGCAUUGUUUGUUAUAGAUGCUCCGGACAUUUUAAAUGUCGUACCAAACUAUAGGUUUGCGGAUGGUGAAGUUCUAUUCUCGUCCACCAAUUUGCUGGGUAAACCAACACAUUUAUUUUGGGCAUCCAGAGGGUUAUUUGGAAUGUGUUAUGCCAUUCGAGGUGGAUUUUCUUUUACAAAAAAAGGGUCAUUUGGAAAGUGAUAUGCCAUUCGGAGUGAAUUUCCUUUUACAGAAAGCUUGAUCUCUCCAAAAUCACUUAUUUAGUAUUUGAUCAUGUACUAUCGAGGAAAGAUUUUAUUUUACUCCUAUUAGUCUUAUCUAUGGCUCAUCAGCAUUUAAGUUUCAAAAUUAUUAUGGAAACUGCCGGCUUAAUUAUUUCAGUUUCUCUAAGAAUCAAUUAGAGCGAAGGAGUAGUAACUAAGGAAACAGUGUAAUGGGAAUAUGAUAUGACCAUAUCUCUUUUUACUCAAGGAUAGAAUGUGCGCCUAAUCGCUCUUCUUGGAUCAAUCCGGAACGAUGGUUCCCCUUUCCAGUUAAAGCAAUGUGUUUAUUACAAGAUUUUUGCUAGAAGUGUUAGCAUAGAGCACUUGUUAAAUUGAGUCAUUUACCGGUGAAAUGAGUUUGUCGAGGUGCAUCUAGGGGACUUUUUCAGUGAAUAUCUCAAGAAUUCUCUUCUUCCUGUUAGAGUACUUUAGAAGAGUCGAGGAUUGCUCAAGCUUGCGCAAAUACGACCAUCAUAAAAGAACACCCCCUCCUUAUUUUGAUAAUAGUGCCAUCUCACAAUUUAUGUUGCUUCUCCAUUAACUGGAUUUGAAAGAAUAUACUGAUAUUUGAUUUAAUUACUCAAUUGUUUCAUAUAUAUUUCAUUUGCCCAAACAACGUUUUGGAAGUAUGGAUCUCACAUAGCCAACUUAUUUGGGACUAAGGCAUAGUAAUUGUUGUUGUUGUUUAUAAGAUGUAAUUGAGUAGGCAGAUAAAAUGCUGCACAUCUGACAUGCUCCUUUUAUGAGAUUACUAAAAAUAAAGCUAUUGAAGUUACUGUCCCUACAUCUGCGAAGUGUCAAGAAGAACUCAAAGAGGGAGGAUUUUUCUCUCUUCAAACUAAUCCAUAUAUGAUGAGGAUGGGACUGUUUCGGCGGGCUAACUGGGCUCCAAGCUAUUCAAAAUUUCUCUUACAAGAAUAGGGUUGGGCAUAACAUGAAUGGGAGUGGUUAUGAUAUCUAUGUUGUAUAGAGUCAAUUUUUUAUGGUGUAAUGACUUUUUAAAGCAUAGAAAGCAACUACAAUUGUGUGAUUCCAGUGUAAAACGUCAUAUGGAGUUAAUGACUUUGAAGGCGAUUAUUGAGUCAAGCAACUAACUCAUCCACUUAUAUUAUACCAAGCAAGACCCAUUUGCAGUUUACUCGCUAGUGUAUCACUCAUUGGAUGAGCCAUUCUUUUUAUACCAGUUGAGUACAUCUGUCAAAGAUCCAGAUAAAAAAGGUAUUGUACCAUACCACGAAAACUUUGCAUUCAAUUUUAGUAUUGUUUGUUCAUUAAUAAAUAUCUAAAUUCACUUGUUCUCUAUAACAAUUGUCAUUCCUGCAAAUUUUUUUCAUGCCCAUUUGCUAAGUUUUAAGGGUUUAGGAUAAUUAAAUCUUGAUAUGUGCCCUAACUGACAAUCAGCCUGAGAGUGUGUAAUUUAGACAUAAACUUGAAUUUUUUAGUGGGAGCCACAUCGUACAAUAUAGUCAUCUAGAUUCAAAUUGCAGCUUUCCAGUAUUACACAUAAAACGACUCUUUUCUCUGUGAUUAUAUGUUUCUUUUCUGUUUUUAAUUGAUUCUCAUGCAAAAUCUGCUACAUUUUUUUUCCUUUUACUUUCGGAGUUUACAUGUUAAUUAGAUUCAUAGUAACUGUUAAAUAGAUUCAUAGUAACUUACAGCCCUAUCCAUGCACCCCCCCACACACCAAAAAUAAAGGACUGACGUGAUCAUUUAGUAAGCAACAGUUGAAAAUGAUCUUUGAAUCAUCAAUUCCUUGAUCUGUAUCCUCUUCCCCAGUUUCUUAAAUUGAAGAUGCAACUAUUUGUACAAGGAGAUCUUCUCCAUUUAACAUAAGUAAUUUUGAGGUUUCUUUUGUACUUUUUUUUCGUUAGCUGCAUAUUUCUGGAAAAUGGCAAAUAUAAGUAUAGCAACAUCUACACGCCGUUCAACAGGAAAAGAUCAUGAGAGUUCCUUAUGGGGCAAACAAAGACUAUUUUAUAUACUCAUUAUUUCUUGUCUUCUGCAAUCGGAUUACCACAUCUGCGGUCUCUGCUGGAGUUUUACUAGUAAAGAACAAUUCUAGGCUAUAAGCACAGACGACUUAUUCAUCUACUACUGCAAGUGUACCCUUACAUCAUUCAAAUCUAUUUUGAGAGCCUCUUGGUGAGGCAAAGAGUGAAAUCUGUAGUGUUUGCAUUAUUUCUUGUUUUCUUGUAGACUUUGCACUGUUCCCUUGUUAGUUUCUAUAUUUUCUACACUAUUUCUUUCUUCUAUGUAC